rnacentral:lncRNA from 1 species
AUGUUUCCCUUGGUCAAAAAUUCACUAAGUCAUCUCCAUGUUCCAAGCAUUUGGCAAACAAUGGCAAGGCAGAGCCACCAGAAACGUAUAUCUGAUUUUCAUGAUAAAGACGGUAACGCUGUAUUAGCUAGUGGAGACACUAUCUGUAUUGCUGUAUGGACAUAUGUAGCAACACAAAUCACAAUAAAAGGGAACCUGUCCACUGUUGGCAGAGUCACCCUAAAGAAAUGGAGAGAUCAGUAA